UAAUUUUUUUGUUUGUUUUUGUUCAGUCUAGAUAUUACUCCUAGAUUUGAUGAAUAGCUGGCAAACACCCAUUAUGUAUAUUAUCUCUUCAUUCUGUCAGUCAUUUUCCUUGCCGUGCAGAUGCUUUUUAGUCUGAUAUGAUCCCAUGUGCUGAUUCACAGUAUUAUUUCUUGUACCGUUGGAGUUCUGUUCAGAAAGAUCUCGCAUAUGCCAAUAUCUUCAAGAGCUUUAUCUGUUUUGCCUUCCACCAGAUUGUUUCUACUUUAACACUUGAUGUCAUGAAUUUCUUCAGUGCUCAAAUGUUAAUACACCCAUGGUUAAUAGGAAAUAAUAAUUCCAUUUAAUGUUCUAUGUUAAGCUUACUGCCUCUACUGCACUAUAGUCUUAUCAAUCUUCUGGAUGUUCAACAAAUACAAUUAAGAUAUAAUUAUAAAUUCCUUUUGCUGGGAUCCAUCAGAUAUUUUCCAGAUAAAGGUUAUAUGAUGCAUAUUGGGGCCAUAAUUAACUAUAUUCAACUGGUAUUAAAUGACUCCGCAGCUGAUCUCUCCUAAAUAAAAAGGUAAAAUUAAUAAAACAGGCUAUCCUCCAAAAAUCAGAUGGCAUUAGACAUUCUAACAGCAUAAGAGAUACUUACACAAUUGUAAAACCAAAAUGUACGGAAUGACAAAUGAAUGACAUGUCAGUUUCUAAAAUUCCCUGGACCUUAUCCUUAUCCCCCUUAUGGGAAGCCAUUACUAAAGUUAUAAUCAUAAACUGUUGAUUCUAUUAUUUGACUCCUGCAUACUUAACUGAUUCUUUGCCUUUGUCUCCUUUAGAUGUAAAGCUGUAUACCUACCCAAGAUGAAAACUAGAUGUCUUGUGACUAUAAAAGAGACAGAUACCUUCCACUGUGGGUCAGAUCCCAAGACAAAAGGCUAAACCUUCAAACAGCACAGGGAGACCUUCUUAAUAUGGCUUUUCAUGUUUUCAACAACAGAGAUAAAAAUCAGUAGGAAAAAUAACAGUCUGAUCUUUUAGAAGUGACACUUGGAGCUGUGAGAUAGGUAAAUCAACACAAGAUGGAGUUGCCUGGGCCCCUCCCAGAUCAUGCUUCAAAUACAACAAACAAGGACAUUGGGAGACCUCAUCACCACUGGAUUCAUUACUGACUGAUCUACUCGGACUUGAUGCUGAAGACUGAUGGGGCUCAGGGUUCACAGCCCUCCAUUAAGGUGUCCUCAGAGCCCCAAGUCCCACUGGAGGUCUCAGUCGAAGAUGUGGACAUUCACCAAUGAUGAAGUUUUCCUGGCUAAAACACCUGGUACCAGCUUCUACAUGGGCAUCAAUCAUCAUCCCGUCAACCUUACUAAACCCCAAUAUGGCGGCCCCUUUCAACAGGAAGUAGUAAAAAAGAGAUUUUCCCUUUUCCUAACAAUACAAAGAUGGGAAUGAAAAGUUCUUGCCUCAGUAGAGUCUAAUGAGGGGCAGAAGACCAAAGUGGGAACACCUACCACUUCCUGCUUCUUUUCCAGCUCCUGUUUGUGUGGGAAGAAGACUCCAAUCAGCUCCUUGAGUGUGAUCAAUGCCCGCCCUAAGCACAGCCUCUGGUCAGACGUUAUAUGUGUAUUCCCUGCCCCAGGUGUCAGCCAGAGAAAGCCAGGCCCCAGCGGUCAUGGAAUUCUCUCCAUGUCCUUAGAAUAAAGGCUAU